AGCGAACGCUGGCGGCAUGCUUUACACAUGCCAGUCGAACGGUAACAGGCCUUCGGGUGCUGCCGAGUGGCGAACGGGGGAGUAAUGCAUCGGAACGUACCCGGAGGAGGGGGAUAACGCAGCGAAAGCUGUGCUAAUAGCGCAUGGGAUCUGAGGAUGAAAGCGGGGGACGGAGCAGCAACGUUUGGCUUCGCGGCUUGGGAGGGGACGAUGUCGGAUGAGUUAGUUGGGGGGGUCAAGGCCUACGAGGGCGAGGAACCGUAGCUGGUCUGAGAGGACGACCAGCCACCCUGUGUGUGAGACAGGGCCCAGACUCCGACGGUGGGCAGCAGUCGAGAAUUUUGCACAAUGGACGCAAGCGUGAUCUAGCAAUGCCGCGGGAGGGCAGAACCCCUUCGGGUUGUAAAGCGAUUUUGGUAGGAAGGAAACGGUGUCCGCUAAUCCCGGGCGAUGAUGACGGUACCUGCAGAAUAAGCACCGGCUAACUACGUG
rnacentral:rRNA from 1 species